UACGUAGGGUCCGAGCGUUGUCCGGAAUUAUUGGGCGUAAAGCGUCCGCAGGUGGACAUACAAGUCUGCUGUCAAAGUGCAGAGCUUAACUCUGUAAAGGCGGUGGAAACUGUAGGUCUUGAGUAUGGUAGGGGUAGAGGGAAUUCCCGGUGUAGCGGUGAAAUGCGUAGAUAUCGGGAAGAACACCAGUGGCGAAAGCGCUCUACUGGGCCAUAACUGACACUGAGGGACGAAAGCUAGGGGAGCGAAAGGG
rnacentral:rRNA from 1 species